UGUUGACGUCUGCGGCUGCGGCGUCGUGCGCAGUCGGGCUAAGAGCGGCGACCGGCUCGGGCUGGUGUGGGAGCAGAGAAGUUUCCCGCCGAGUGGUCGCCAGACACCUCUGCCGAGUUGUGGCGGCCGGGCGGGGUCGCAGGGCUGUGGAGGCAGGGAGCCAGGUCGGCUGCAGGCCCGGCCGGGACGCUCGCCCUCCCCCUCCCUUUCUCCAUCCCCUCCCCUCCCCCACGCUCACGUGCUCCUGACCCCAAAGCGAGCGACGAUUGCCCCGCAGGUCACUGUGAAGUUGGGACACGUGAGUUGGCAGAGAUGAACUCUUACUGCAGUGCACACCAACCCAGAGAAGGCUAAACGAGCAUUCCCGCAGUCCUGCACUCGGCUGACCAGGUGAGGAGAAACCCCUCGCGGCAUACACUGUCCAGUGGGAAUGACGACGGCUUGGGUGUCCAAGGCACUGAUUCAGCAGGACCAAAUGCUGAGUAACUGCGGGAUUCCAGGGAAGCCUCUUCGUAUUUGCAGGUCUCCAUUUCUCUCUCUCUGAAGAGCAGGAAAUAUGAGAGAAGAGCUUAUGAACUGGAUGAAAAGGUCUUGUCUUGAGCCCGUGCAAUUACCUCCUCUUCGUCCCCACAAUCCACUGAAAUGGGAAGAAAUUAAACAGAGAGAGAAGAAAAGAAAAGAGGAAACUUUGUAGGACUGCUGUAAAAGAGGAAAGUGUACCACUGACGUAUAAGAAAUAUGGAACUUGGGGAAUAUGUGAAGCAGAAAGGACCAAAUGGAAGCAGAAACCAAUCGGACUUGAAUAGCAGAUUCCACAUAUAGUAGAGGAAAGACUGAAGAUAAAUGAACCCAUCCACGUUUGUCACCCAGUGGUUAUAUCGAGUGCAGUGUUGAGAAGGCGUGUGAAGGCUCUCAAUCUGAAGAUUUAGCCGUUAGUACUGACCGGCCAUGGCCGUCGUCCUGAGCCUGGACCUCCUGCUCAUUUUUCAUCCAGGACAGCGGUGACAGCGUGGGAUGCUGCACGCAGAUAUGAGUAAGAGCUGAAGAGGUAACCCCAGAGCCACCUUAUCAAGUUCAGGACCAGAUCGGGGAAGCACAAGGUGCCAGAGAUCUAUUCAACAUAUUUUCCACUCAGACCUGGAAUCAAUCAGUUUCACAAGGAGGAAAAUUAAGUUCUGAGACCAGAAUCGAAGGCCCAGAAGUGGUCAUUGCUACUGAUUUGUUUUUGCUUCUGGAACUGCUCAGUGAACAGGAAACUAAGGGCUGGGGACAAAAAUGCUUUGUCCAAGGCCUUGCCAGUUACCUGUCAGCUAAUUCCUGACCGAGGUAGGGGAAGAAUUCAGCCUGUCUGCCUCCAGUCCAUACGGUGAUGACGCCGCCUCUCAAAUCACUGGCAAAUACAUAUGGAACACUUGUGUCUUAGGCCGUGUCUUCUGUAGUUGUCCUAAGUUACUCCAGCAACGAGAAACCAUGACAGAGCACGGCCUCAGCCGGAGUCUUCUGCAUUUUCUCAUCUGCAAUGAGGAGAAACUGUUUGAAAAAUAUGGCUUCUACCCACAUUCAAAAAGCAGACCAAGAAUCUACUGCUUUGUCUGAUGGUUCCUUUUCCCCUCCCACUGCCGGAGCACAAGGAGAUUUUUCUCUGAUAUUUACCGUGGAAGCCUUGUCAAGAUCCUGGAGGUCCACCUUCCUGGGGCCACUUCUUUGCACCACAAAGGCAUCUUGGAGGCUCCCGCUGCCCGUCCGCCAUGGGAAUCUUGCUAUUCUAACCAGAGACCAGAGACCAGAGACUGUUUGCCCCUGAACGUGGGAUGUAGCUACGGUGAACUCAGCACGCUGCAUACACUGCCUGGGUUCUGCUGAGAUCCUGGUUAAACUUUCAAGGCCCUGGUCUAAUUAUCAUUGCCCUUUGGAACUCUUUUCUAUGUAUUUUCAUCCAGAGUUAUGGACUUUCAUCAGUUUUUAUUGAA